rnacentral:rRNA from 1 species
AUGUGGCCUGUGUUUGUUAUACCAUACAACCUUCCACCUUGGGCAUGCAUGGACCAGUCAAAUUUCAGGAUGGCUUUGCUAAUUCCAGGUCCUAAAUCACCUGGCAAGCACUUUGAUGUCUUUCUACAACCACUUGUAGAAGAAUUACUUGAGCUCUGGGAGGGUGUGCGUACAUAUGAUGCUCUUACUGAAAAAAUGUUUGAUCUUCAUGCUGCAGUUCUAUGGUGCAUUCAUGAUUACCCAGCUCUGAGCACUCUUUCAGGGUGUACCACAAGAAGCUAUUUUGUAUGUAUCCAUUGUGACAAACACCCUAUUUCUUACGGCCUAAGGAAAAAAAUUGGGUAUAUUGGUCACUAUCGUUUCCUUCCAAAGGGACAUUGUUUGCUGAGAAAUAAUGAAUUUGUUGGUCUUCAUGAAAGCAAUGAUCGGCCAGGUAAAUUCUCUGAGAAAGAGCUGCAAGCAGAAUUGGAGAAGGUUAGACCUGGGAGGCAACAAGAAAGUAAGAAAAGGAAACGUUCUGACUUGGGCAGCAAGAAGGCUCAUGUGCCAAUUUGGAGCCGCAGGGUUUGUUUGUGGGAUUUGGAAUAUUGGGGGAAAUUGAAGCUGAGGCACAAUCUUGAUGUCAUGCACAUCGAGAAAAACAUAUGUGAAAACCUCAUUGGGACAAUUUUGAACUUAGAGGGGAAGACAAAGGACACACUCAAUGCUAGGAUUGAUCUCCAAGAUUUGAAUAUUAAAGAGGAGUUGAAAUUGAGGAAGGAAGGAAACUCAUAUGUGAUGCCUCGGGCACGAUAUACCUUGUCCAAAGAACAAGUGGUUGCAUUUUGUCAAUUUCUACGGGAGUUAAAGUUUCCGGAUGGAUUUGCUUUCAACAUAUCAAGAUGUACAAGUGCUGAUGGUACCAAGGUACAAGGCCUUAAAACACAUGAUUGUCACAUUCUUCUGCAAAGAAUCUUACCUGCUGGCAUGAGAGGAUUUUUGGAUAGUGAUAUAUAUCAAGCAAUAGCUGAGUUAAGCAAGUUUUUCAGGGAACUAUGCAGCAAAACUCUUAAUAGGGAUGUGUUGGCUGAAAUGAAGAAAGAAAUCCCUAUAAUUUUGUGCAAGCUUGAGAAAAUUCCCCCCUGCUUUCUUUGA